rnacentral:lncRNA from 1 species
AAGUUUCAGUUGGAUUAAAAAAUACAGAAAAUAAAAUUGAAGAAAAAAGACCGAUUUCGUAGAGAAUUGCUCACCUGCCAGCGCCAUCAACCGAGACAACACCAAGCACCAAUCCAGCAACGGCCUCCACCGUAACAAUGAUCCCGACGCGGACCGGAGGAGUCAAAGCGAAAGUACUCGCGUGAUCAGCUCAAGAAUGCUGCACCUUCCUUCAACUCCCCCCCCCCCCCCUCGUCGUACAAUUGCACGGACGUCCAACGGAUUUUUCACUCAGGGAAGGAUGAUCGUCGGUGGGCGGGCGUGGGCGAAGGGUGGCGAGCUUGAGCGAAGGGCGGUGGGAGGCGGGCUUGAGCGAUGGGCGGCGGACGAUUGGCGGUUGUGACAUGGCGGAGAGAAAGCAGUUUUUGGAUGGUUAGAGGCAGAUAUUAUAACAGAUAUUGCUCGAUUUUUUGCUUCAGGGGGGGGGGGAUUGUUUGAUGAUAUCAGGUAGUUUGUUGUACUGAUAGCAACCAGAAUAACUAAGACAUCUUUUCCCGAAUUCUGUAUGCGGCAACGGGGUUCUUAGGUCCUUAGGAGACUCCAGUCUGUCGCACUAGUGCCUGUUGCCCUUGAACAGGCUCGAAUUGUCACUAGUGCUGCCAUCUCCUCAUUUAAUUGGAUGAUUGGAUGAUAAAUAUCAAUAUCACUCUGGAAAAAUAGUGUUUUUUUGCAAAUCAAUGUCGUCCUUAUCCAAACCUACAACAGAAGACACCAAAUCGAUUAAAAAAUUCCUAGAUUGGAACAAGACGAAGAAAUUGCUUCAAAUAGAUUGCAAAAAGAGAGGGAAUUGUCGAGGACAGGAUACACGUUGAUUGAUGGAUGGAUUGGAUUGAAGCAGGGCGAUGCUCUCUCGAACUUACUGUUCAUCAUAGCGUUGGAGGGUGCUGCUCGAAGAGCAGGCGUGCAAAGAAACGGAACACUCAUCACUAAAUCGCACAUGCUGCUUGGAUACGCUGACGACAUCGACAUCAUUGGUAUCGACCGUCGUUCAGUGGAGGAGGCGUUCGUUCCUUUCAAGCGAGAAGCUGCGUAGAUCGGACUGAACAUCAACACUGCCAAGACCAAGUAUCUGGUUGCUGUUUUAAAAACGAAAACUUUUAAUGCUAAAGUUUUUGAAAAUCUCACUACCAAUAGAUUUAAAAGUUUUAACUUUUAAUACGACUGGAUUAAUUCUUUCAUUUUGUCGUUCUCGUGUAAUCGUGUACGCAUGCCUAAGUCCCAAAUGUAAACAAACAUUUUGGUAGUGCCGGUGGUGAGUGAGUUGUUCACGACGCGAAUCAAAUCCGAACGCGGCCGCAGCCAAGAGUCGUACGCGGACAUCGUUGUGAGUCAAAACAGCAGCAGCGGAAGGUGGGUGGUGCCGGUGCGGGACAAGUACGACAAAGUUAAUUUUCAAGGCGAGGAGAAGGAUCCGACGGAAGAGGAGGACGACGAGAAGCAUAAUCGGAGGUGGUCAGCGCGGAUGUUGCACUCGGGGGGUUAGGGAAAAGUUGGUUUCGAAAAGAACAAGGUCAUUUUCCUGCUUGACCUGCAUCUGUUUUACGACCAGAAUUGGUAAGAAGGAAGCAUCGAUGUUUUGUGGGAUUUGUGAUUGAUUUUGUUUGUUAUUGUAGGACGCCUUUCAUACAGUUUCCGAAGAUCGGAGAUCGCGAUGUGAAUUUGCGCCGGUUGCCGGAGAUCAUCGAGAAGAUAAUGCUGCAAGCGUUGCAUGGAAGUCGAUUUACACCCAGUUUUUGGACAAGUACGAAGUUAAUGUUCAAGGCGAGGAGAAGGAUCCGACGGAAGAGGAGGACGACGAGAAGCAUAAUCAGAGGUAGUCAGCGCGGAUGUUGCACUCGGUUUCGACGGAAGUUGGAACGAGAUCUGAAGAAUCUGAUCAAGAACAUCUUCCCCGAAUACGGAAGAAGUCACUGAUGAGUAUUGAGAACGUGUUCAGUGUUUAGCCAACUUUACUUAUUUUCAAACUAUUUCAGCAACUACCCGCUCGCAAACGAUCACCUCGCGAUGGCGCAGCUUCGGCCGAAUGAACUUGGACGGCGAGCCUGCAAAAUUUGUGCCAUUCUCGAAGGAGGAUGAUUGAAAUCGAAUCCUCAUCAGCCUCAAGUCCGGGAACCUCCCAGGCACAUUACUUCCCAGCCGGGAAAAUCCUCCAACGGCCGUCUCCUCCAAGCCUGUCCUGAUGAAGGCCGAAAACAUGACCACCCUGUUCUCUACAUCGCUGACACGCUCUAAAAUGAAGGCUGCGAUGCUACUGCGCAACGAAACGGCCAUCCGGAUCCGGCUCUGCCUGAGGUAUUCGGACGUGACCGAAAGGAUCGAUACAGCUUGGACUCGGAAGUUGGCCAACCCAAAGCAGAAGCGUUAAAUACAAAAAAAAGUUUUGUUUUUGAA